UACGGAGGGUGCAAGCGUUAAUCGGAAUUACUGGGCGUAAAGGGCGCGUAGGUGGUUUAGUAAGUUGGCUGUGAAAUUCCUGGGCUUAACCUAGGCUGGUCAGCCAAUACUGUUAAACUAGAGUACGAGAGAGGGUAGUGGAAUUUCAGGUGUAGCGGUGAAAUGCGUAGAUAUCUGAAGGAACACCAGUGGCGAAGGCGACUACCUGGCACGAUACUGACACUGAGGCGCGAAAGCGUGGGGAGCAAACAGG
rnacentral:rRNA from 1 species